rnacentral:rRNA from 1 species
AUACAGAGGGUGCGAGCGUUAAUCGGAAUUACUGGGCGUAAAGCGCGCGUAGGCGGCUUAUUAAGUCAGAUGUGAAAUCCCCGGCUCAACCUGGGAACUGCAUCUGAUACUGGUAAGCUAGAGUUUUGAAGAGGGAAGUAGAAUUUCAGGUGUAGCGGUGAAAUGCAUAGGGAUCUGAAGGAAUACCAGUGGCGAAGGCGACUUCCUGGCCAAAAACUGACGCUGAGGUGCGAAAGCGUGGGUAGCAAACGGAAUUAGAUACCCUAGUAGUCC